rnacentral:rRNA from 1 species
GGGCAGUGCGGCAGCUACACAUGCAGUCGAGCGGAUGACGGGAGCUUGCUCCUUGAUUCAGCGGCGGACGGGUGAGUAAUGCCUAGGAAUCUGCCUGGUAGUGGGGGACAACGUUUCGAAAGGAACGCUAAUACCGCAUACGUCCUACGGGAGAAAGCAGGGGACCUUCGGGCCUUGCGCUAUCAGAUGAGCCUAGGUCGGAUUAGCUAGUUGGUGGGGUAAUGGCUCACCAAGGCGACGAUCCGUAACUGGUCUGAGAGGAUGAUCAGUCACACUGGAACUGAGACACGGUCCAGACUCCUACGGGAGGCAGCAGUGGGGAAUAUUGGACAAUGGGCGAAAGCCUGAUCCAGCCAUGCCGCGUGUGUGAAGAAGGUCUUCGGAUUGUAAAGCACUUUAAGUUGGGAGGAAGGGCAGUAAGCUAAUACCUUGCUGUUUUGACGUUAC